CAUGGUUCCGGGGGCUCCAGAUGCAGCCUUUCCAAGCAGCAUGGAUUUGCAGUGUCACAGCUGUGCCUGGGCUUGUGAAGGCACUGAGAACAAAAGUACAGAGUCCCGGCUUUCACCACGGCUGAAGGGGACACCCAGUAAGUCCAGGAAGAAGACUGCCUUCCGGUUGGAGUAUCUGUGGAACGGGUCUGAGAUGAGAAUGUCGAGCCCAAGAAGAAGAGCCCAGACUGAGAAGACUGAAGCAGGGGAGGCAUCCAGCAAAGCCCCACAGGAGAGAAGGGUCACCACUAGAAGAGAUUGUUGAUAACUAUCUCAGCAUCAAGAUGACCUGAUUUCACCACAAGCCUGGAUUGCUGUCUAUGCAUGUAUCUGUGGAUCUACACAUAUGCACCCAUAAUAAAACUGCAUAUAUUUUUUGCC
ensembl:lincRNA Gm5 predicted gene 5